rnacentral:rRNA from 1 species
GACGAACGCUGGCGGCGUGCUUAACACAUGCAAGUCGAGCGGUAAGGCCCUUUCGGGGGUACGACGAGCGGCGAACGGGUGAGUAACACGUGGGUGACCUGCCCUCAGCUCUGGGAUAAGCCCGGGAAACUGGGUCUAAUACUGGAUAUGACUCCAUGACGCAUGUUGCGGGGUGGAAAGCCUUGUGCGGCUGAGGAUGGGCCCGCGGCCUAUCAGCUUGUU